rnacentral:rRNA from 1 species
CGUAGGGUCCGAGCGUUGUCCGGAAUUAUUGGGCGUAAAGAGCUCGUAGGCGGUUUGUCGCGUCUGCUGUGAAAUCCCGAGGCUCAACCUCGGGCCUGCAGUGGGUACGGGCAGACUGGAGUGCGGUAGGGGAGAAUGGAAUUCCUGGUGUAGCGGUGGAAUGCGCAGAUAUCAGGAGGAACACCGAUGGCGAAGGCAGUUCUCUGGGCCGUAACUGACGCUGAGGAGCGAAAGCGUGGGGAGCGAACAGGAUUAGAUACCCUGGUAGUCCACGCCGUAAACGUUGGGCGCUAGAUGUGGGGACCUUUCCACGGCUUCCGUGUCGUAGCUAACGCAUUAAGCGCCCCGCCUGGGGAGUACGGCCGCAAGGCUA